CACGUAGGGCGCAAGCGUUGUCCGGAAUUAUUGGGCGUAAAGAGCUCGUAGACGGUCUGUUACGUCUGCUGUGAAAACCCUGGGCUUAACCCUGGGCUUGCAGUGGAUACGGGCAGACUAGAGGCAGGUAGGGGAGAAUGGAAUUCCCGGUGUAGCGGUGAAAUGCGCAGAUAUCGAGAGGAACACCAGUGGCGAAGGCGAGUCCCUGGACAACACCUGACACUGAGGCACGAAAGCUAGGGGAGCAAACAGG
rnacentral:rRNA from 1 species